AGCAGCCGCGGUAAUUCCAGCUCCAAUAGCGUAUAUUAAAGUUGUUGCAGUUAAAAAGCUCGUAGUUGAAUUUCGGGAUCAAAGGAUCGGUCAUGCCUUGGUAUGUACUGGUUUUAUUGGUUCUCACCUUCUAAAGAACCAUAAUGUCAUUCAUUUGAUGUUAUGGGGAAUUAGGACUGUUACCUUGAAAAAUUAGAGUGUUUAAAGCAGGCUUACGCUUGAAUACAUUAGCAUGGAAUAAUGAAAUAGGACAUCAGAUUCUAUUUUGUUGGUUUCUAGGAUCGAUGUAAUGAUUAAUAGGGAUAGGUUGGGGGCAUUAGUAUUCAAUUGUUAGAGGUGAAAUUCUUGGAUUUAUUGAAGACUAACUACUGACGAAAGCAUUUGCCAAGGAUGUUUCAUUAAUCAAGAACGAAAGUUAGGGGAUCGAAGACGAUCAGAUACCGUCGUAGUCUUAACCAUAAACUAUGCCGACUAGGGAUCGGAUGAUAGUUUAAUUUUAUAAUGACUCUAUUCGGCUAAC
rnacentral:rRNA from 1 species